GAUGAACGCUGGCGGCGUGCCUAAUACAUGCAAGUCGAGCGAACAGACGAGGAGCUUGCUCCUCUGACGUUAGCGGCUGACGGGUGAGUAACACGUGGAUAACCUACCUAUAAGACUGGGAUAACUUCGGGAAACCGGAGCUAAUACCGGAUAAUAUAUUGAACCGCAUGGUUCAAUAGUGAAAGACGAUUUUGCUGUCACUUAUAGAUGGAUCCGCGCCGCAUUAGCUAGUUGGUAAGGUAACGGCUUACCAAGGCAACGAUGCGUAGCCGACCUGAGAGGGUGAUCGGCCACACUGGAACUGAGACACGGUCCAGACUCCUACGGGAGGCAGCAGUAGGGAAUCUUCCGCAAUGGGCGAAAGCCUGACGGAGCAACGCCGCGUGAGUGAUGAAGGUCUUCGGAUCGUAAAACUCUGUUAUUAGGGAAGAACAAAUGUGUAAGUAACUAUGCACGUCUUGACGGUACCUAAUCAGAAAGCCACGGCUAACUACGUG
rnacentral:rRNA from 1 species